CCUGCCGAUGACUCGGGGAUAGCCUUUCGAAAGAAAGAUUAAUACCCGAUGGCAUAGUUCUUCCGCAUGGUGGAACUAUUAAAGAAUUUCGGUCAUCGAUGGGGAUGCGUUCCAUUAGGUUGUUGGCGGGGUAACGGCCCACCAAGCCUUCGAUGGAUAGGGGUUCUGAGAGGAAGGUCCCCCACAUUGGAACUGAGACACGGUCCAAACUCCUACGGGAGGCAGCAGUGAGGAAUAUUGGUCAAUGGACGAGAGUCUGAACCAGCCAAGUAGCGUGAAGGAUGACUGCCCUAUGGGUUGUAAACUUCUUUUAUACGGGAAUAAAGUGAGGCACGUGUGCCUUUUUGUAUGUACCGUAUGAAUAAGGAUCGGCUAACUCCGUGCCAGCAGCCGCGGUAAUACGGAGGAUCCGAGCGUUAUCCGGAUUUAUUGGGUUUAAAGGGAGCGUAGGCGGACGCUUAAGUCAGUUGUGAAAGUUUGCGGCUCAACCGUAAAAUUGCAGUUGAUACUGGGUGUCUUGAGUACAGUAGAGGCAGGCGGAAUUCGUGGUGUAGCGGUGAAAUGCUUAGAUAUCACGAAGAACUCCGAUUGCGAAGGCAGCUUGCUGGACUGUAACUGACGCUGAUGCUCGAAAGUGUGGGUAUCAAACAGGAUUAGAUACCCUGGUAGUCCACACAGUAAACGAUGAAUACUCGCUGUUUGCGAUAUACAGUAAGCGGCCAAGCGAAAGCGUUAAGUAUUCCACCUGGGGAGUAC
rnacentral:rRNA from 1 species